rnacentral:tRNA from 2 species
CGCGGAGUGGAGCAGUUGGUAGCUCGUUGGGCUCAUAACCCAAAGGUCGCUCGUUCGAGUCGAGCCUCCGCAA